GACGAACGCUGGCGGCGUGCCUAAUACAUGCAAGUCGAACGAGAGCGACCGGUGCUUGCACUGGUCAAUCUAGUGGCGAACGGGUGAGUAACACGUGGGUAACCUGCCCAUCAGAGGGGGAUAACAUUCGGAAACGGAUGCUAAAACCGCAUAGGUCUUCGAACCGCAUGGUUUGAAGAGGAAAAGAGGCGCAAGCUUCUGCUGAUGGAUGGACCCGCGGUGCAUUAGCUAGUUAGUGAGGUAACGGCUCACCAAGGCCGUGAUGCAUAGCCGACCUGAGAGGGUGAUCGGCCACAUUGGGACUGAGACACGGCCCAAACUCCUACGGGAGGCAGCAGUAGGGAAUCUUCCGCAAUGGACGCAAGUCUGACGGAGCAACGCCGCGUGAGUGAAGAAGGUUUUCGGAUCGUAAAACUCUGUUGUUAGAGAAGAACAAGUGCUAGAGUAACUGUUAGCGCCUUGACGGUAGCUAACCAGAAAGCCACGGCUAACUACGUG
rnacentral:rRNA from 1 species